rnacentral:rRNA from 1 species
UACGUAGGGUGCAAGCGUUGUCCGGAAUUAUUGGGCGUAAAGAGCUCGUAGGCGGUCUGUUGCGUCGGCUGUGAAAACCCGGGGCUCAACCCCGGGCCUGCAGCCGAUACGGGCAGACUAGAGUUCGGCAGGGGAGACUGGAAUUCCUGGUGUAGCGGUGAAAUGCGCAGAUAUCAGGAGGAACACCGGUGGCGAAGGCGCCACUCUGGGCCGGUACUGACGCUGAGGAGCGAAAGCGUGGGGAGCGAACAGG